CCAGAACUGUGAGAGGACCUAGGACCCCACGAGAGGAGGGAUCUGGAGGCCAAGCCAGGAGCAGGACAACACCAACAGAGGCCUCAGAAGAAGACUCAGAGUGGGACAGGGGCUCCUUAAGUGAUUGGGGCUGGAAGUGCGCAGAGAAGCCCGGCGCGGCAGGGAAUUGUCUCUCCCUGGGGUGCUGCCAAGAUGAAGAAACUGAGGUUUAGAGCAGCCGCUUGCCCAGCGUAGACAGCGAGAAGGACAGGUCCAGUUCUGCUUGAUGAUGAAGCCUGUGUCUUCUCUGCUGUGUGAUCCUAAUCACGUUGGGAGGUUCCUGAGGAAGCAGAGGAUUUUGCCCUUGCAUUUGAGCCACAGCAGCUCUACAGAGGGUCUGUAACUUUCACCAGAUUCUUAAGGAGUCUGUGACCUGGGAGAGUUUUAAGAGUGGGAAAGCUGUAAGGCCACGCUCAGGCUGGAUUCCAGCCGUGGGACCCCUCGCUUCACUUCUCUGAGCCUCAACUUCCUCAUCUGUGCAAUGGGGCAGCCUCGUGGACAUGCAGGAUUGCAGUUCUGGACAUGCAGAGCCUGGCAUCCAGAGGAGCCCAGCGCCCGCCAACUGCAGCACCCAGCACCAGCAACCCCAGGGUUGGGGGCUGACUCCAUUCUUCUCCCCAGGGCUACACCAGCUCUAGCUUCCUGGCCGCCAGUUUCCCCAGCAACUUCAUUUUGUUUAUUUGCAAUGGCUUAUUGGGGUCUCCUGGAGAAAAGAUUCUCAGCUGAGUUCCAGAAAAUGAACACGCUCUCCCC
rnacentral:lncRNA from 10 species